AGUGAACGCUGGCGGUAGGCCUAACACAUGCAAGUCGAACGGCAGCACAGUAAGAGCUUGCUCUUACGGGUGGCGAGUGGCGGACGGGUGAGGAAUACAUCGGAAUCUACUUUUUCGUGGGGGAUAACGUAGGGAAACUUACGCUAAUACCGCAUACGACCUACGGGUGAAAGCAGGGGAUCUUCGGACCUUGCGCGAUUGAAUGCGCCGAUGUUGGAUUAGCUAGUUGGCGGGGUAAAGGCCCACCAAGGCGACGAUCGGUAGCCCGAGUGAGAGGAUGGUCGGCCGCACGAGAAGUUAGACACGGUCCAGGGUACUGCGGGAGGGAGCAGUCGGGUAUAUUGGGCAGUGGGCGGGAGUAUGAUCCAGCCAUACCGCGUGGGUGAAGAAGGCCUUCGGGUUGUAAAGACCUUUUGUUGGGAAAGAAAAGCAGCAGCUUAAUACCCCGCUGUACUGACGGUACCCAAAGAAGAAGCACCGGCUAACUUCGUG
rnacentral:rRNA from 1 species